UGCAAAUGAAAAGGCAAAAGUGGUUGAACCAGUUACACUCAUCCUUGGAAGUUUUUAGCAAAAAGCAAGACUCAGAGCGGCCUGGGCACAUUGCAGGCCCGAUUCCCCACGGGAGAACCCAUCCAUGGGCGUGGGUCCUGUGCAUCUCCAAGUGGGAGCUGGGCCCACACCACACAGAACGGUCUCCUACAAUAGUCAGGAUCACAAUUUAAAACAACGCGAACCCUUAAUGAAUAAUAAUUCUCUUGAAAACUUAGAAUCUUACAA